rnacentral:rRNA from 1 species
UAAUACGAAAGGUGCAAGCGUUGUUCGGAUUUACUGGGCGUAAAGAGAGUGUAGGUUGUUUAUUAAGUCGGAUGUGAAAUCCCGGGGCUCAACCCCGGAACUGCAUUCGAUACUGAUAGGCUAGAGUUCGGGAGGGGUAAGCGGAAUUCCGUGUGUAGCAGUGAAAUGCGUAGAUAUACGGAGGAACACCUGAGGCGAAGGCGGCUUACUGGACCGAUACUGACACUGAGACUCGAAGGCGUGGGUAGCAAACAGGAUUAGAUACCCUGGUAGUCCACGCCCUAAACGAUGUCAACUAGCCGUAGCGGGUAUCGACCCCUGCUGUGGCGAAGCUAACGCGAUAAGUUGACCGCCUGGGGAGUACGGUCGCAAGAUUA